rnacentral:rRNA from 1 species
GACGAACGCUGGCGGCGUGCCUAAUACAUGCAAGUCGAGCGAAUCAAUAGGAGCUUGCUCCUGUUGGUUAGCGGCGGACGGGUGAGUAACACGUGGGCAACCUGCCUGUAAGACUGGAAUAACUUCGGGAAACCGGAGCUAAUACCGGAUAAUCCUUUUCCACUCAUGUGGGAAAGCUGAAAGUCGGUUUCGGCUGACACUUACAGAUGGGCCCGCGGCGCAUUAGCUAGUUGGUGAGGUAACGGCUCACCAAGGCGACGAUGCGUAGCCGACCUGAGAGGGUGAUCGGCCACACUGGGACUGAGACACGGCCCAGACUCCUACGGGAGGCAGCAGUAGGGAAUCUUCCGCAAUGGACGAAAGUCUGACGGAGCAACGCCGCGUGAGCGAUGAAGGCCUUCGGGUCGUAAAGCUCUGUUGUUAGGGAAGAAUAAGUAUCGGAGUAACUGCCGGUACCUUGACGGUACCUAACCAGAAAGCCACGGCUAACUACGUGCCAGCAGCCGCCGUAA